AGAACAUGUCGCUUUGCUUUUCUUUAUAGAAGUCGUUUUGUGGAAGCUUUAGGUUAAAUUCUAUUUUAAUGUUAACCGGUUUCAAAACAACAAAUAUGAAAUAAAGAAAAGGAUGAAAUGGUGUAAAUGGAAUUUUUAUUCCUACCAAAAGGCAUAAGAAGUGGUACUGUUAGACAUCAAUAUUUUUGGAAAAUACUAUUUUUGGAUGAGUCUAUUUUUAAGAAUUACCACAUGUGAAGAAAUUCAAGUUGGUUGUAUCAAGUAAUGAUAAACUGAUUGAUCCAUAAUAUAUUAAUUGGAAAGAAGUAUCAGCAUUUUCGUGAUUUUCUAAUAUUAUUGAACCGUAAUGGAGUGUAGACGAAUUUUUAUGCGCCCGGGUUGUAAACACGGACCAGUAAAAAUUUCUGCCAAGCUGACAAAGUCGAGUUUUAUUGGAAUCCGAAUGGAAAUUGUGCCCUGUUACUAACGAUAACAGAAGUCGAUAAAACCGGCGGUGAAAGGUUCGCCAUCAUUGUCCUACGAUAUAUUCUUUCAUAAAAUGGAGAGAAGCAUUGCAAGGAAACAGUAAAGAAAUAAUGAAAAUAUAAACACAAAAAUAAAAAUCUUUUCCAGAGAAACUAUCACUGAGUACAAAUUUCAGUUUCUCUUCACUGUUGCGUUUUUGUCAAAGUGUGGAAUUAGCUUAACGAAGAUUAGUUUCUCCAUAUUAGACAUACUUUGGUUUCACAUAAGUAUUCUUUUUUUAUGAGCCUUACUAGACAGAUCAAAUUUGUUUAUUACGAACAUAAGCUUUUUUAAUCAAUCGAUAAAUAAUAAUUUCUGAAAUUCACGAGAUGAGUAUUUCCAUUUCUCUUGAUAGUGUUCCAUUUAAAAGCUGUCACAAUUAAGUUUUUGAUACCAACCCAUAAACCGCUUAACGCGCAACAUUUUCGUUUAUUAUGCAAACUGCCCCUAAACGUCGAAGUUGUGCUUUAAGUGGUUAAUGGACGGUAGUUUUGUUUGUCACAUCAAUUCAUUUUGCGAGCUGUUAACAGUUGUUUAGAAACUCUUAAGGUUAGAACUGUAAUUAGAUUAGCUUCCUUUGAUACUUGUUGUUAAGGUGGGAAUCUGGUUUAUGAGGCUCAAAAAAAGACUAUGUAAGGAAGAAACCAAAAAGAUUUUAAUUUUACAUGAUUUUCUUAGAAAGCCAACAAAUCAAAUUAGUUAGGAAUGAAAUCAUUAUCAACCAAUAAAACCUAUGUUAACCUGUGUAACCGUUUAACGCAUAAUAUUUCGUUUCGUUAUGCCAAUCUGCCCCUCAACGUCACGAAGGUAUGCUUUAGGCGGUUACCAGCUAUUAGUAAAGAUUCACGUAAAUCUGCUUCGAAAUUCCUUUUCAUUGAGACAAACGUUUGUUGGAAAUAACGUUGGUUUGAAAUACAUAGUUUACAUUUUUGUUGUUCUGUUACUAAAGUAUGCAAAAAUGUUCGCAAGCAGUUCUCAGGAAUUUUGACGAUUUCACCAGUUUCCUCAUAUACAUUCUUUCGAAAGGCUGCAAUACGCUUCCGCGUGUUGAUUUUCAACCUAUCGUGGUCUUCUUCCUUUAACCCCUUAUUCUUUUCUUUAUUCACAGGAUGUCACCAUGUACGAUGUAACUGAUUAAAUAAUAUAAGUUUUUUAUUUUAUUUGAUAAGUUAAAUGAUAUGAUCCUCUUAGAAAGCGAACAAAUCAAAUGGAUUUGGAAUGAAAUCAUUAUUAACCAAUAAAAUCUAUAGAGUAAA